GACGAACGCUGGCGGCGUGCUUAACACAUGCAAGUCGUACGGAAAGGCCCUGUCGGUGGUACGCGCGCGGCUAACGAGUGAGUAACACGUAAGUGACUAGCCCACCCCUUACUGAUAACGCAAGGCAACUGACUCUGGCACUGACUAGGUGCGACUGCUGCCUGCUGGGGGUGGGUAAGCUCCGGGGGUUGUGGGUGGACGCACGGGCUACCAGCUUGCUGGUGGGGGGGGUGCCUACCAAGGCGGCGACGGGCAGCCGGCCUGAGAGGGUGGCCGGCCACAUUGGGACUGAGAUACGGGCCAGACUUCUACGGGAGGCAGCAGGGGGGAAUAUUGCACAAUGGGCGCAAGCCUGAUGCAGCAAAGCCGCGUGCGGGAUGACGGCCUUCGGGUUGUAAACCGCUUUCAGCAGGGACGAAGCUUUUUGUGACGGUACCUGCAGAAGAAGCACCGGCUAACUACGUG
rnacentral:rRNA from 1 species